AGGAUGAACGCUAGCGGCAGGCCUAAUACAUGCAAGCUGAACGGUAAAUAUUAUAGCAAUAUAGUAUGAGAGUAGCGUAAGGGUGCGUAACACGUAUGCAAUCUGCCCUGUACAGGAGAAUAGCUCGGCGAAAGCCGGAUUAAUGCUCCGUAAUAUUGAGUUAUGGCAUCAUGAUUCAAUUAAAGUGCAAGAUGGACAGGAUGAGCAUGCGUCUGUAUUAGC
rnacentral:rRNA from 1 species